GGAGAGAUGGCCGAGUCGGUCGAAGGCGGUCGCCUGCUAAGCGAUUAAGCGGGACUAAAACCCGCUUCGAGGGUUCGAAUCCCUCUCUCUCCGCCA
rnacentral:tRNA from 1 species